AAAAAGGAAAAUGUGUCACCCAGUAUCUCCAUGGCAACGAAGAGGGGGACCAUAGAGGAGAAAUACUUUUCAGGCACUAAAGAAGAAACGGCAUGAAGGUUUUUCAGUCUCAACAAGAUGCCCACCAAGCAUCAAGAUGGUGGCUUUUUUUUUUUUUUUUUGGGUCUUUUUUUUUUUUUUUUUUUUUUUUUGGAGCUGGGGACCGAACCUAGGGCCUUGCGCUUCCUAGGUAAGCACUCUACCACUGAGCUAAAUCCCCAGCCCCAAGAUGGUGGCUUUUAACAUAAAAAGUACCAUGGACUCAGGGGCAGAGGCAGAGGUGGGAGGAUCCCUGGGGCUCACUGUUCAUCAGCCUCGAGGAAAAGUGGCAGUGUACCCAGGUUUGGUGAGAAACCCCAUCUCAAGGAAUUAAGGUGGACAUGAAUAGAGAGGGACACAUAGCAGCUACCUCUACUCUCUGCACAGUAUGCACACAUGCGCACAUACCAUGUACAUUCAGGCAAACACGAGUCAGAUACACAAAAACAUUAAAUGUUAGAAAAUGUUUAAAAGCAUUUCUCUAUUCCAGGGCAAGACAAACUUGGAAUCUGUUUGCUAGGCUUGGUUUCCCAUUCCCUUCCAUGCUUUGGUGGUUUCUGCUUGCCUUAUGGGCAAAAUAAUCCUCCCAACAGAAUACAAAAAGCCACC
rnacentral:lncRNA from 1 species